UACGGAGGGUGCAAGCGUUAUCCGGAUUCACUGGGUUUAAAGGGUGCGUAGGAGGGCAGGUAAGUCAGUGGUGAAAUCUCUGGGCUCAACUCAGAAACUGCCGUUGAUACUAUCUGUCUUGAAUAUCGUGGAGGUGAGUGGAAUAUGUCAUGUAGCGGUGAAAUGCUUAGAUAUGACAUAGAACACCGAUUGCGAAGGCAGCUCACUACACGUAUAUUGACUCUGAGGCACGAAAGCGUGGGGAUCAAACAGG
rnacentral:rRNA from 1 species